UGAGGGACAGAUCAUGCAUCGUCUCCCAUCGGUAGACCAUUCCUCUUCUCUCCUCACGCUGGACACAGUGUGAUUACCCUUUUUGCUGGCCGGAUUGGACCGAGCGGCAUCACCUAGUAGUGAUCUUGGAGGAAGGGCAUCGCCGAAUUGCGUCUCCUUCCACCAUCGGCCACCGAAGCUUAGAGAGGUGCCCUAGUCCGGAAUUGUGCCACUCGAUCGUCUGCGAGGGUCACGGAUUGGGUGACACCUCCUGGAGACAAUCGGUUGAGUGAGGACCUGUUCUGUGGAUUGCUCUAUGAUCCAACAAUAUAUUGUUUCAACAGCAACUCGAUUAGAGCAGUGAGGUCCUGUUGUUGUGGUGUUGGGAAGGUGAUCGUGAAGUGAUUUUAGCAGCAACCUUGAUCCAGCAAGCAAUAGGGGCUGUGAA